rnacentral:tRNA from 13 species
GGAGCGGUAGUUCAGUUGGUUAGAAUACCUGCCUGUCACGCAGGGGUCGCGGGUUCGAGUCCCGUCCGUUCCGCCA